UGGAACUAAAAAAGAUGAUUACAGGCACCAACUGGCAUACCAAUGCCUUAUUAAUUUUUUUACAUCAACAAUUUUGGUACAGUCUUUUGAAUUAGUGUAUUUGCAGACAUGUAGAAGAUAUGCAUUAGAAGACUAGGGCAAUUUAUUUUUUAAGAAAAUAUUUAUUUAUUAACAGUUUAAUAAAGUUACUAUGUUUGUAAUCACCAAAGGUGAAGCACAUCAUUUUU
rnacentral:lncRNA from 1 species